GGCUUUGUGCCCGGGAGUCUGAGACCAGCCUGAGCAACAAACCAAUACCCUAUCUCAAAAACAAAACAAAAUAAAACAAUGGCUGUUGUUUUAAGUCAUUCGAUUUUGAGAUACAUAGUUACAAAGCAAUACAUAACCAGAAUUAGUAGGUUUUAUAAUCCCUACUUUGCAGAUAGGAAAGACUAAACUAAAGCUCAGAGAGGCCAGUAAGCAGAGGCAAGACUCAACCUCUGUUUGCCUAACUCCACAGCCUAGACUUUUCCCACUACACUGUAAUGGCUGGGCCUUUCCUUGACACCCAGGGACCAUCCCUGGCCUGCUCUCUGCUUUGAAUUCAGGCCCAUAGCCUGGCUUCAUUCUCUACAUGUAUGGUCUCCGCAUGACACUUUUUUCUAUACUAUUGGACUUUGCAGCUGACACCACCCACUUAGUCCUUCUCUAACUGCCUAAUCAGUGGCCUGGCCAUUGCCAUCUGCCCUGCGGGUCCUCCUGUAUUCACCUGGGUGGGCUACUUAUCUCCUCAGCUCAGUCUCUGCCAAAGAGAAGUGCUAUGUUCUUCAUUUAAACCACACACAUGGCCAGAUGCAGUGGCUCCUGCCUGUUAUCCCAGCAAUUUGAGAUAGGCCAAGGCGGGAGGAUCACUUGAGCCCAGGAGUUCAAGACCAGCCUGGGGAGCAUAGUGAGACCUGUCUCUGCAAACAAUAAUAAUAAUUUAAAAAUAUUAGCUGUGUUUAUGCCCGAAGUCCUAACUACUUAAGAGGCUGAGGUGGGAGGAUUUCUUGAGCCUGGGAGGUCAAGACUGCAGUGAGCCAUGAUUGCACCACUUCAUUCCAGCUUCGGUGACAGAGCGAGAUCCUCUCUCAAAAUAAAAUAAACUGCACACAUCUUUUUGUUUGCUUUUUUGAGAUGAAGUCUCACUCUGGAGUCUCACUCUGGGCAAGUCCAGUUGCCCAGGCUGGAGUGCAAUGGCACAAUCUCAGCUUACUGCAACAUCUGCCUCCCAGGUUCAAGCAAUUUUCUGCCUCAGCCUCCCGUGUAGCUGGGAUUAUAGGUACCCACCACCAUGCCUGGCUAAUUUUUGUAUUUAUUUUUUUUUUUUUUUUUUUUUUGAGACAGGAUUUUUUCUCCUUUAGGCUGGGUGCAGUGGCUCAUGCCUGUAAUCCCAACACUUUGGGAGGCCAAGGUGGGCAUAUCAUUUCAGGUCAGAAGUUUGAGACCAGCCUGGCCAAUAUGGUAAAACUCCAGCUCUAGUAAAAAUAGAAAAUUAGCUGAAUGUGGCAUGCAACUGUAAUCCCAGCUAUUAGGGAGGCUGAGGCAGGAGAAUCGCUUGAAUUGAGGAGACAGAGGUUGCAGUGAGCUGAGAUUGUGCUACUGUACUCCAGCCUGGGUGACAGAGUAAGACUCCAUCUCAAAAAAAAAAAAAUAAUAAUAAUAAAACACAACAUUUUCCCCCUUUGAACUGGCUG
rnacentral:lncRNA from 13 species